GUUGACCUCGGAUCAGGUAGGGAUACCCGCUGAACUUAAGCAUAUCAAUAAGCGGAGGAAAAGAAACCAACAGGGAUUGCCCUAGUAACGGCGAGUGAAGCGGCAACAGCUCAAAUUUGAAAGCUGGCCUUCGGGUCCGCAUUGUAAUUUGUAGAGGAUGCUUUGGGUGAAACGCCAGUCUAAGUUCCUUGGAACAGGACGUCAUAGAGGGUGAGAAUCCCGUAUGUGACUGGAAAUGUUAACCUAUGUAAAGCUCCUUCGACGAGUCGAGUUGUUUGGGAAUGCAGCUCUAAAUGGGAGGUAAAUUUCUUCUAAAGCUAAAUAUUGGCGAGAGACCGAUAGCGCACAAGUAGAGUGAUCGAAAGAUGAAAAGCACUUUGGAAAGAGAGUUAAAAAGCACGUGAAAUUGUUGAAAGGGAAGCGCUUGCAAUCAGACUUGUUUAAACUGUUCGGCCGGUCUUCUGACCGGUUUACUCAGUUUGGACAGGCCAGCAUCAGUUUCGGCGGCCGGAUAAAGGCUCUGGGAAUGUGGCCUUCA
rnacentral:rRNA from 1 species